CACGCCGUAAACGCUGAUUACUAGGUGUAGGGGGUAUAGACUCCCUCUGUGCCGCAGUUAACGCAUUAAGUAAUCCACCUGGGGAGUACGGCCGCAAGGUUAAAACUCAAAGGAAUUGACGGGGACCCGCACAAGCAGUGGAGUAUGUGGUUUAAUUCGACGCAACGCGAAGAACCUUACCAGGGCUUGACAUCCCUCGCUAUCCCUCGAGAUAGGGAGUUCCCUUCGGGGACGAGGAGACAGGUGG
rnacentral:rRNA from 1 species